AUUGAACGCUGGCGGCAUGCCUUACACAUGCAAGUCGAACGGCAGCACGGUUGCUUGCUCCUGGUACCGAGUGGCGAACGGGUGCGUAUUACGUCGACACCUGUCCUUUAGUUGUGGUUAGCCCGGCGGAAGCCGGAUUAAUACCGCAUCCGAACACCGGAUGCAAGUGGAGGCCCUUCGUCCCUCGCGCUUUCGGGUUGGCCGAUGGCGGAUUAGCUAGUUGGUGGGGUAAAGGCAUACCAAGGCGACGAUCAGUAGCUGGUCUGAGAGGAAGACCAGCCACACUGGAACUGAGACACGGCCCAGACUCCUACGGGAGGCAGCAGUGGGGAAUUUUGGACAAUGGGCGAAAGCCUGAUCCAGCAAUGCCGCGUGUGUGAAGAAGGCCUUCGGGUUGUAAAGCACUUUUGUCCGGAAAGAAAUCCUGGACUCUAAUACAGUCGGGGGAUGACGGUACCGGAAGAAUAAGCACCGGCUAACUACGUG
rnacentral:rRNA from 1 species